rnacentral:rRNA from 1 species
AGUGAACGCUGGCGGUAGGCCUAACACAUGCAAGUCGAACGGCAGCACAGUAAGAGCUUGCUCUUACGGGUGGCGAGUGGCGGACGGGUGAGGAAUACAUCGGAAUCUACUUUUUCGUGGGGGAUAACGUAGGGAAACUUACGCCAAUACCGCAUACGACCUACGGGUGAAAGCAGGGGAUCUUCGGACCUUGCGCGAUUGAAUGAGCCGAUGUCGGAUUAGCUAGUUGGCGGGGUAAAGGCCCACCAAGGCGACGAUCCGUAGCUGGUCUGAGAGGAUGAUCAGCCACACUGGAACUGAGACACGGUCCAGACUCCUACGGGAGGCAGCAGUGGGGAAUAUUGGACAAUGGGCGCAAGCCUGAUCCAGCCAUACCGCGUGGGUGAAGAAGGCCUUCGGGUUGUAAAGCCCUUUUGCUGGGAAAGAAAAGCAGCAGGUUAAUACCCCGCUGUUCUGACGGUACCCAAAGAAUAAGCACCGGCUAACUUCGUG